CCACAGCAGCCAGGCGCGAGGGAAGCUGCUGUCAGUUUCAGCUGUAUUUAUUUUAAUGGAAGACAACAUCUGUAUGAACAGACAGCCGCUUGAAAGAUUGCAACAACACUGUGGAGGAGCUGAGGAAAAGGAGGAUGGAAGUCAUCAUGGAGCUCCGAAAGGCCAAGAAAGAUGAACAGAUUCUCAAAAGAAGAAAUGUGAGCUGUUUGACCGAUGCACAGAUAACCUCGGCAAGCACUGGAGUUUGGAGGAGAUGUUAAGAAGCAUUAACAGUGUCUGGAACCCCAGCCCACCUGCCUCAACGACUACCACCCUGUAGCCCUGACUUCAGUAGUGAUGAAGUGCUUUGAAAGACUCGUCAGAGACUUCAUCACUGCAUCACUACCAGACACACUGGAUCCGCUACAGUUUGUGUACAGGCAAAACCGCUCCACUGUGGACACCAUUUCACAACUCCUUCACACAACAACAAGCCACCUGGACUGCAGAAAAGGGAAUUAUGUAAAAAUGCUGUUUGUGGACUACAGUUCAGCGUUCAACACCAUAAUUCCUUCCACACUCACCUCUAAGUUGGAGGUCCUAGGUCUCAGCACUCCCCUGUGCCAGUGGAUUUCCAACUUCCUGACAGACAGACCACAAACCAUAUGGAUGGGCAAACACACCUCAUCCUGCAUCACCCUCAGCACUGGAGCUCCUCAAGGUUGUGUUCACCAUCAUUAAGUUUGCUGAUGACACUGUUGUGUUGGGCCUGAUCUCAAACAACAACGAGACGGCCUACCUACCUACCUACGGGAGAUUAAAAACCUGGAGAGAUGGUGCCAGGUGAACAACCUACUCCUGAACAUCAGCAAGACUAAGGAGUUAAUAGUGGACUUCAGUACAAAGCAGGAGCGGUCAUACCAACCGACCACGAUCAGCGGAACCCCAGUAGAGAGAGUGGACAGCUUCUGGUACCUAGGUGUUCAUAUCACGCAGGACUUGACUUGGUCCUGUCAUACCAACACCCUGGUGAAGAAGGCCCGGCAGCGUCUAUACCACCUGAGAUGCUUUAGGGACUUUAAACUUCCCUCUCAGGUGCUAAAGACUUUUUACACCUGCACCAUUGAGAGCGUCCUGACGGGUAGCAUCACUUCCUGGUUCGGGAACGGCACCAUGCAGGACAGACGAGCCCUCCAGAGAGUGGUGCGUUCAGCUGAACGGACCAUCCACACAGAGCUCCCUGACCUGCAGGACAUCUACAGCAAGAGGUGCCGGAUCAGAGCCAGGAAGAUUGUGAAGGACUUCAGCCAUCCCAACAAUGGACUCUUUUCUCUGUUGCGUUCAGGGAAGCGCUUCCUCUCCAUGAAGGCAAACACAGAGAGAAUGAGGAGGAGCUUCUUCCCACAGGCCAUUCGGAGUCUGAACCAGGAAACACCUAGAACCGGAUACGGAUACGGGGAGUCUCUCUGCUUUUUUUCAUCACUUUUCAUCACUUCUCGCACAUUUGCACAAACUGACACUUUGACACUGGACUGGCACAAGUCACUUUAUACAAUUAUUCCAGCACAUGGACACUUCAAUGAUAAACACUGGAUCACCUCAAUAUAUGCCAUAUACACAUACAUCCCUUCACGUUCAUGUCUGCAUUUAUGUGUAUAUAUGUGUGUAUACCACUUUGUUAGUGUGUGUGUAUAUAUAUACAUACAUAUA